AACGAACGCUGGCGGCAUGCCUAACACAUGCAAGUCGAACGAGACCUUCGGGUCUAGUGGCGCACGGGUGCGUCAAGCGUGGGAACCUGCCCUUAGGUUCGGAAUAACUCUCCGACAGGGGUGCUAAUACAGGAUAAUGUCUUCGGACCCAACAUUUAUCGUCCUUGGAUGGGCCCGCGUUGGUUUAGCUUGUUGGUAGGGUAAAAGCCUACCACGGCUACGCUCGAUAGCUGGUCUGAGAGGAUGGGCCGCCACACUUGGGCUGGGACGCGGCCCAGACUCCUGCACGAGGCAGCAGUGGGUGAUAUUGGACAAUGGGCGGAGUCCUGAACCAGCAAUGCCGCUUGAGUGAUGAAGGCCUUAGAGUUGUAAAGCUCUUUUACCCGGGAUGAUAAUGACAGUACCGAGAGAAUAAGCUCCGGCUAACUCCGUG
rnacentral:rRNA from 1 species